GACGAACGCUGGCGGCGUGCCUAAUACAUGCAAGUGAAGUUCAGUGGCGGACGGGUGAGUAACACGUGGGUAACCUACCCAUCAGAGGGGGAUAACACUUGGAAACAGGGUCUAAUACCGAAUAAAGGGGGAUGGGCUCGCGGCCUAUCAGCGUGUUGGUGGGGGGAUGGCCUACCAAGGCGGUGACGGUUAGCCGGCCUGAGAGGGUACCCGGCCACAUUGGGACGGAGAUACGGCCCAGGCUCCUACGGGGGGCAGCAGUGUGGGAUAUUGCACAAUGGGCGAAAGCCUGAUGCAGCGACGCCGCGUGGGGGAUGAAGGCUUUCGGGUUGUAAACCUCUUUCGCUAUCGAACGGGUAGGUGGAGAAGAAGCGCCGGCUAACUACGUGCCAGCAGCCGCGGUAAUUC
rnacentral:rRNA from 1 species